rnacentral:lncRNA from 1 species
GCAAAGCUAUACUAUGCAGAUGCGAGAAAUGUUGUUUUAUGAAGAUCUACAAGGAAUUUUGGUGAGAGUACAAAAGGAGAUGCAUGCAUCUUUUGUGUGGCUAUUUCAGCAAGUAUUUUCACAUACACCUACUUUAAUGGUAUAUGUGAUGAUACUGCUGGCUAAUUAUAGUGUUCAUUCUAUGGCAAACAGUGCUGCUAUUGCUGCUACACGAAUAUGGUGUUCAUAAUUCGAGAACUGCAAAGCUAUACUAUGCAGAUGCGAGAAAUGUUGUUUUAUGAAGAUCUACAAGGAAUUUUGGUGAGAGUACAAAAGGAGAUGCAUGCAUCUUUUGUGUGGCUAUUUCAGCAAGUAUUUUCACAUACACCUACUUUAAUGGUAUAUGUGAUGAUACUGCUGGCUAAUUAUAGUGUUCAUUCUAUGGCAAACAGUGCUGCUAUUGCUGCUACACCACCACCACCACUUACAGAAACUGUUUCUACUUUGGAAGAGAGUAGUUGUAAACAAA